GUAGGGNGCGAGCGUNNAUCGGNAUUUAUUGGGCGUAAAGCGCGUGCAGGCUGUUUGGAAAGUUGGAUGUGAAAGCUCCUGGCUUAACUGGGAGAGGUCGUUCAAAACUACCAAACUAGAGAAUGGGAGAGGGAAGUGGAAUUCCGGGUGUAGUGGUGAAAUGCGUAGAUAUCCGGAGGAACACCAGUGGCGAAAGCGGCUUCCUGGACCAUUUCUGACGCUUAGACGCGAAAGCUAGGGGAGCGAACGGGAUUAGAGACCCCGGUAGUCCUAGCUGUAAACGAUGUAGACUUGGCGUUGGCGGAGUUAAAUCUGCCAGUGCCGGAGCAAACGCGUUAAGUCUACCGCC
rnacentral:rRNA from 1 species